CGUACCAUCCUCUCGGAAUUAUUUACCGCUAGAAAUCGCGAGCGCGACGCGAAUUUGAACGAGCUGAAAGAACUUGCGACGGCGUGCAUGUGAUUAGACGUGGAGAGAAAAAGAGGGGAAGAUGCUGACGUCAGGGCCGGAACACAAUACCACGAGGGCCACAAGGCAUUGGAGGCACGAGAUCGCUCCCGGCGCGGCAGUCCCGGUUUGUCGAUGCGGAACGUUAGAUGUUUAUAAUGGCAUCUUUAAAAAAAAAAAUUAAGAAAGUGAUUGAACGCAUCAAACACUACGUGAUUCCUCAAAGUUGUUUGCCACCCAGUUCACCAAUAAAGUCUCACU